CCGAAAGUCAAGCUUAAGCGCCCGGCCUAGCCCGGGAGGCCCCAGGGGCGCCGAGCCCCGCUCCCGGACUCCCCGGCCGGCUCCUCCAGCCGCCCCCGUCGCCUCCGCCAUCGCGCCCCCCGCCGCCACAUGCACUCCUCCCUGUUCGGCCCGCGAGGACUGGGCGGGGGCCGCCCGCAGUCGGGGACCCUUCUGCGCCGCGAGGAGGCCGGCCCAGGUGACGGCGCGCGUGACCCCGGGCUCGGGGCCAGGAUCCGGGGCGGAGGGAGCCGGGCCCUCCUGGGGGUGGCGUGCGCCGCUGUCGCCCCCUCCCUCCCCGGGCUCCUGGGCCUGCCCGGGGAGCCUCCCCGCGUGGCCUCGAGUCCGGUGGCCUGCCCCGCGCCGCCCAGCGCGUGCCUGCGACCCCGGAUCGGGGAGGGCCCUGAGUUGACUCUUCUUUGGGACAAGUGUCGUAAAGCGCUCCGGAGAAUGACUGUCACCGGACAGACCGCCUCUGCACGACGUGAAGACUCGCUGUCGCUGUCGCUCGGGAGGAAGAAGGAGGGCUGCGGGAGCGAGCGCUGUCAGCAGCACAGGUGGCUCAGGUCCCAGGAAGCCAGUUGCAAACCAGAGUGUUGGGCUUGGGAAGAACCCAUCGUCCUUGGCCUGCAGGCCUGUGACUCCUAGAGAGAACAUAGCCCUGUGCAGCAGAGAGAAGUCAUCAAGCAGAGAGUUUCCUCCUCCGCCCACUAGCAGGUGGGGAGGGACGUGAACACCAGCCUGCACCAGGUCGCACCGUGAAUAAAAUGAUGCAGCACAGAGAGCA
rnacentral:lncRNA from 12 species